rnacentral:rRNA from 1 species
UCAGUCGACUCCUACGGGAGGCAGCAGUGGGGAAUCUUGGACAAUGGGGGCAACCCUGAUCCAGCCAUGCCGCGUGAGUGAUGAAGGCCUUAGGGUCGUAAAGCUCUUUCGCCUGUGAUGAUAAUGACAGUAGCAGGUAAGAAACCCCGGCUAACUCCGUGCCAGCAGCCGCGGUAAUACGGAGGGGUUAGCGUUGUUCGGAAUUACUGGGCGUAAAGCGCGCGUAGGCGGAUUAGUCAGUUAGAGGUGAAAUCCCAGGGCUCAACCCUGGAACUGCCUUUAAUACUGCUAGUCUUGAGUUCGAGAGAGGUGAGUGGAAUUCCGAGUGUAGAGGUGAAAUUCGUAGAUAUUCGGAGGAACACCAGUGGCGAAGGCGGCUCACUGGCUCGAUACUGACGCUGAGGUGCGAAAGUGUGGGGAGCAAACAGGAUUAGAUACCCUGGUAG